UACGAAGGGGGCUAGCGUUGUUCGGAGUUACUGGGCGUAAAGGGCGCGUAGGCGGCGCACCAAGUCAGGCGUGAAAGCUCUGGGCUCAACCCGGGAAUUGCGCUUGAGACUGGUGUGCUUGAGUACGGGAGAGGAUAGUGGAAUUCCCAGUGUAGAGGUGAAAUUCGUAGAUAUUGGGAAGAACACCGGUGGCGAAGGCGGCCUGCUGGGCAGUUUUGCUGACACUGAGGCGCGACAGCGUGGGGAGCAAACAGG
rnacentral:rRNA from 1 species